rnacentral:rRNA from 1 species
AUGGCUCAGGAUGAACGCUGGCGGCAGGCUUAAUACAUGCAAGUCGAACGGUAAGGCCGAGUGUAGCAAUACACGAGGUACACGAGUGGCGCACGGGUGCGUAACGCGUAUGCAACCUGCCCUGACCGGGACAAAACAGCUGGAAACGGCUGCUAAUAUCCCAUGGUUACCGAGGAGGGCAUCCUCCUUUGUAUAAAGAUUCAUUGGUCGGGAGUGGGCAUGCGUAUUAUUAGGUAGUUGGUGGGGUAACGGCCCACCAAGCCGACGAUGAGUUAGGGGUUCUGAGAGGACUUAACCCCCACACUGGAACUGAGACACGGUCCAGACUCCGUACGGGAGGCAGCAGGUAGGGAAUAGUUGGGCAAUGGAGGCAACUCUGACCCAGCCCAUGCCGCGUGAAGGAAGACGGCCCUAAGGGUUGUAAACUUCUUUUAUCGUGGAGUAAACCCGGUCACGUGUGGCCGGUUGAGAGUACACGAGGAAUAAGUAUCGGCUAACUCCGUGCCAGCCGCGGC